rnacentral:rRNA from 1 species
UACGGGGGGGGCAAGCGUUGUUCGGAAUUACUGGGCGUAAAGGGCUCGUAGGCGGCCAACUAAGUCGGAUGUGAAAUCCCCAGGCUUAACCUGGGAACUGCAUCCGAUACUGGAUGGCUUGAAUCCGGGAGAGGGAUGCAGAAUUCCAGGUGUAGCGGUGAAAUGCGCAGAUAUCGGGAGGAACACCAAUGGCGAAGGCAGCUCGCUGGGACGGUACUGACGCUGAGACGCGAAAGCGUGGGGAGCAAACAGG